GUUUGUGUGGCCUAAUGGAUAAGGCACUGGACUUCGGAUCCAGGGAUUGCAGGUUCGAGUCCUGUCACAAACG